CAAGUCCACCCGCAAGCUGAGUAGGUCAUGCAUAUGCAGUCUUCUUGGCUGCAGAAGGCAAAGAUGAAUUCUUCAUUUUCGGGACGAGAGCGAGAGCAAGACAGAGAGAGCACCAGGAGGCUGCUGGGAAGCCCCAGAAACCAAUAGGAAUGAAAACGUAACUUGGAGAAACCACAUUCACCAGGAAGUCAAUUUUAUCUGCAAGCUUCUCCACUCCUGAGGAAAUAAGUGAAGACCUAAACUGGUGGGAUUCAAAUUGCACUGAAGUCUAAUCGUACAGAGGCCUGCUUUUUAAACAGCUUCCCUCAGGUCCAAGUGACGCCUUGUUCAUCUGAUCUUUUUCCAGGGAUCAUGGAGUCAAUUCGUUUUCAACUGACCUGCAGAACAGGAGCAAAAAUUCAGGUCAAAGUUUGGCGGACAAAUUCGAGCGUGAAAUUUUAAAAUUCCUUACUAUAUGCAGUUUUAGUUUUUAAAUAUUGUCUUGAGGAUAUUACGUUAAAUAAAGUCUACUGCCUCUACGUGUGGGAAUAAACUCAACAAAAUACAAGAGGGUGAGAGACAUUCUGUUCCUCCAGGGUGAAAAUGUAUUAUGUUUUUUU